rnacentral:rRNA from 1 species
CAAUAGCGUAUAUUUAAGUUGUUGCAGUUAAAAAGCUCGUAGUUGGAUUUCGGGUGGGACGCAGCGGUCUCGCAUUGCGUUUGUACUGCUGCAGCCCUCCUUCUUGCCGGGGGCGGCCUCUCGGACUUCACUGUCUGGGGGUCAGAAUCGGCGAUGUUACUUUGAGUAAAUUAGAGUGUUCAAAGCAAGCUUACGCUCUGAAUAUAAUAGCAUGGGAUAACACAACAGGACUCUGGCCUAUCGUGUUGGUCUAUAGGACCAGAGUAAUGAUUAAGAGGGACAGUCGGGGGCAUUCGUAUUCCGUUGUCAGAGGUGAAAUUCUUGGAUUUACGGAAGACGAACAUCUGCGAAAGCAUUUGCCAAGGAUGUUUUCAUUGA